UGCCCCAUGGCUGAGUUGGUUACAGCGUCCGACUGUUAUUCGUCCAUAUGAUAAAACUAUCGGAAGGUCGAGAGUUCGAGCCUCUCUGGGGCAG